UUUCGUAUGAUUCAGAGCUUUCGUAAGGAGGAGAUUCAUAGGAAUUGGAGUUUUCAGAAACUGCAGAACUUGUGUAUGCAGGAGUUUCGUAGGCACUGGACUCUUCAGAAACCUCAGUGCUUGUGUAUGCAGGAGUUUCGUAGACAUUGGAGUCCUCAGAAACAAAAUUUUCAAGCUUCUCAUGAAGCUCACCAACUCCUUGGAAAAUUUGAAGCAAGAAAUUCACUCCAUUAGCCACAUCAUAUACCAUGAGUCCUAUCCUACCUCCGACCCAACUUCCCAGAUGACUUCCAACCAGAUAGCCAAAGCGCCCAAGCCUAGCCUCACCAAGAAACCCUCCAGCAUAGGCACCAAACAAUGUUCCACUGCCCCUUAGGAAUCCUUCUGUUAUGGUACCGCCAUAAUAAAGAGCUUCAAAAAA
rnacentral:misc_RNA from 1 species